rnacentral:lncRNA from 1 species
UGUCCAGUGUCCAGUGCUGAAUGCUGAGGGACCCAGUAAGAGGAGGUGGCUAGAACUGGAGGGACAGUUUCCCAGAAGCCUGGGCUUUGGGAUAGCAGCUGGGGAGAGCAGAGUCACGCUAGGCUCUUGUCUAGUGACUGGAGCUGUCUGGGUCUCAGGUCUAAGGUCUUAUAGGGCAUCUGGUUGGUAUUAGUGCUACAUUCUGCUGAGGCUAUCGCCCACAUUGCCUGCAGCUGACCAUGUUCCUUCCCUCUCUCCCUUUUCUCCAGAGCAGCAUAAGCCAGGCUCUAUGGAAUGUUGGGUGAGCUGCUUGAGGAACUCCAAGGCCUGUCCCACAGUCUUCCAGCCUCCGACUCUCCGGCCCUCAGCGAGGAAGUCCCACUGGUUUUUUUGGUUGGUUUUUUUUUUUUUUUUUAAGGUUUUUUGGUUUUUUUUUUUUUUUCUCAUUCCUGUCUUGGGAGCUUUCCCCAACCAGGAGAGUGAAGAUGGGCGGAGCUGUCACACCAACUGUUAGCCUGCCUUGGCUGAGAGGAGAGGAGGCGAGGAGGGAGCGACCACCCAGCUUUAGUCGUUUUAAAACAGCUCCUGACCCUAGAAGAAGGGAAAUGGAGAUGAAGACCCAAUUGACUUGGUAUGAAGUUUAAAUGCCCCUUCAAGACUUGGGGGUCGAGGACGGUGAGAUUGGCUCAGUGGAUAGAUUCACUUGCCUCUAAGCCUGACAACCUAAGUUAAUAUCCUCUACCCACAUAUGGAAGGAAAAAAAUGAUUUCCAAAAGUUGUCCUCUGACCUCCACACAGAGACCAUGGCCUGUGCACCACCCCCCGAAAAUGUAAUAUAUUUUUUAAAAAGACAUGGGGACUUCCAUUCAGUGUCUCCCAAUGUUUGGGGAUUUCCUUUCCUUAUUUCCUUACUCCCUGUCGGUGCCCUAGAGGAGACAGAGAGAGUCUAACUACGGAGAGGUCAUUCUCUAGGUUGGUUGGUGGAAUAUUCAGGACUCCUGGGAAGGCUCCAACUGGUCCCUGAGAGUCCCAGUUUCCUCUAUCACACAGCAGAAGGUGGGGAAUGGCUGCCGUGGUUGGAAGAGCGCGUUGGUGCUGAGGGGGCCAGCUGGUUGAGAAGCAGGUGGAGAGGGAAAGGACCCUGCUUAAGAGGGGGCUGGGUGGGAAGGCUGGGUAAUUUAUGAUAUCAUUGUUCCCGCCCCUCUUCCCAGCCCCCUGCCACUUUACUGUUGCUAGGAGAUCCUGGCUGGCCCUGUCAAAUGGAAAACUCCUCCUCAGCCAGAGUAGGCCCUACCCUGAGUCACAACAGACCCUAAACACACCAGUGUCUCCUAUGAAUCCAUUCAGGUUCAGCCAGCUUGGGCGUGGGACUACCUGACCGAGCAAGUGCUUGUGUGUGUGUGUGUGUGUGUGUGUGUGUGUGUGUGUGUGUGUGUGUGUGUGUGUGAUAUGGAGGGAGCCAGGAGAUAGACUUUGAGGAUGGAGGAGCACUCUGAGGGCCUGCAGGUGACCCUGGGAACCAAGCCUGGGAAGAACCUAAGUUAAUAAUGCAAUCUUUAUCUUAGAGAGAGUGAUCUUUCAGCAGACUGAUCGAACACACAGGCUUCUCAGCCCACUCCCUCCAGUCAAGGUUAAGGCCUGGCAAAGGUGGAGGAAGAGAAGCUGAGGAGAAAAAGGCGAGGAGAGCCUAGGCACAGGAAGGCUUCCCUCCCUCCCAGUGCUGAUUUCCUGUGGACCAGAUUCCAGCACAGUGGAGGGCCAGAGCUCAGGGAACAGACCCAGCAGCACAGCAAGUCUCCAAGGAAAGCUCUAGCAGUCUCCAGGGGCUGAAGGCAGGACUGGGGAAGCGGCUAGCCAGGCUGCAGAAGGCAAAUGCUCCCAGACGGCUGUCCAGCACGCAUCCGCCUUCCUAGCCAAGUUUCCUGGGCUCCUGCCACAGAUCUAAGCCUCAUCCUGACAUCCUGCCCUCUGUGCUCUGGGAUGGCCCAGGGGAGAUGCUUAGCCUUGGCUCCUUGUCUGCUGGUGGAGGGGACACACACCCUUUCUGGACCACAGGUAACUUUUCUUCUGUCUACUCCUAACAGAUCUCCAGAGUACUUUUAUUCAUAAGUAUGUGUUGAAUGUCAGUGUGCAUAUUGUGUAUAUAUGUUUGAGUAUGUUAUCUUGUGAGUAUAAGCGUGCAUACAUGUUUGAGUGUGUAUCUGAGAGAUCGUGUGUGUGUGUGUGUGUGUGUGUGUGUGUGUGUGUGUGGUGUCUUGAAAUAAAGUCCUGUUGUGUGGUUCAGGCUGGCCUUGAACUCAGAGCACUCCUCCUAUGAUUCCCCUAUGCUGGGAUAACAGGCCUUUUCCCCACACUUGACAAUUUCUCUUUACAGACCAAAAAGAAGACCUGACGUCAUCCUGAGCACCCCCGCCAUGCAGAGUGUGUUCGCAGACUGCCAACGGGCUGGCUCCGGCCAGCAGAAGUGAACAGAGGUGGAGGUUCAGCCUGACAGCUUCUCCCCAAAGCCAUGGAGAGAAAACCUUACCACCCCCACCGCCCAGCUACUUCCAGCAAGUUGUCCAGCCUGACCCCUCUAUUUCCCCUGUUGUCUCUUAUCUGGGUCCCUGAGACCCACCCCAUCUCCAAUAAAGAACAUUGC